UCGCUACGCGGACACAGAACGAGAACGCUCGGUACACGAAGACGUUGACUUAGGGAGCGUCGAUAAAGUAUUUGGAUUUUCAAGAAAUUAAUAAUUCAAUAGCGUCCAAACCAUAUGACCUAUUGGUUCAAAACCUGCUCCAAUCUAUGUGUCUACAUGUCCUUCACAGUGCACAACCAUUUAUAUGAGGAAAUAGUCAUGUUUCAUAUUUUUCUAUAAUAUUUUAGUAUAAAUAUUACUGUAAUAUUUCAAUACCAUCCACACCAUAUGACCUACUGGUUCAAAACCUGUUCCAAACUGUGUGUCUACAUCCCCUUCACAGGGCACAACCUUUUAUAUGAGGAAAUAGUCAUGUUGCCUAUUUUUCUAUAAUAUUUUUGUGUAAAUAUUACUGUAAUUUUUCAAUACCAUCCACACCAUAUGACCUAUUGGUUCAAAACCUGUUCCAAACUGUGUGUCUACAUCCCCUUCACAGGGCACAACCUUUUAUAUGAGGAAAUAGUCAUGUUGCAUAUUUUUCUAUAAUAUUUUUGUGUAAAUAUUACUGUAAUUUUUCAAUACCAUCCACACCAUAUGACCUAUUGGUUCAAACCCUGUUCCAAACUGUGUGUCUACAUCCUCUUCACAGGGCACAACCUUUUAUAUGAGGAAAUAGUCAUGUUGCAUAUUUUUCUAUAAUAUUUUUGUGUAAACAUUACUGUAAUUUUUCAAUACCGUCCACACCAUAUGACCUAUUGGUUCAAAACCUGUUCCAAACUGUGUGUCUACAUCCCCUUCACAGGGCACAACCUUUUAUAUGAGGAAAUAGUCAUGUUGCAUAUUUUUCUAUAAUAUCUCUGUGUAAAUAUUACUGUAAUAUUUCAAUACCAUCCACACCAUAUGACCUACUGGUUCAAAACCUGCUCCAAACUGUGUGUCUACAUCCCCUUCACAGGGCACAACCUUUUAUAUGAGGAAAUAGUCAUGUUACCUAUUUUUCUAUAAUAUUUUUGUGUAAAUAUUACUGUAAUUUUUCAAUACCAUCCACACCAUAUGACCUAUUGGUUCAAAACCUGUUCCAAACUGUGUGUCUACAUCCCCUUCACAGGGCACAACCUUUUAUAUGAGGAAAUAGUCAUGUUGCAUAUUUUUCUAUAAUAUUUUUGUGUAAAUAUUACUGUAAUAUUUCAAUACCAUCCACACCAUAUGACCUACUGGUUCAAAACCUGCUCCAAACUGUGUGUCUACAUCUCCUUCACAGGGCACAACCUUUUAUAUGAGGAAAUAGUCAUGUUGCAUAUUUUUCUAUAAUGUUUUUGUGUAAAUAUUACUGUAAUUUUUCAAUACCAUCCACACCAUAUGACCUACUGGUUCAAAGCCUGUUCCAAACUGUGUGUCUACAUCUCCUUCACAGGGCACAACCUUUUUUUGAGGAUCAAAUCAUCUUUCAUAUUUUUCUAUAAUAUUUUAGUGUAAAUAUUACUGUAAUUUUUCAAUACCGUCUACACCAUAUGACCUAUUGGUUCAAAACCUUCUCUGAAAUUAUCAUCUACAUCUCCUUCACAGGGCACAACCUUUUAUAUGAGGAAAUAGUCAUGUUCCAUAUUUUUCUAUAAUAUUUUUGUGUAAAUAUUACUGUAAUUUUUCAAUACCAUCCACACCAUAUGACCUAUUGGUUCAAAACCUGCUCCAAACUGUGUGUCUACAUCUCCUUCACAGGGCACAACCUUUUUUCUGAGGAAAUAGUCAUGUUGCAUAUUUUUCUAUAAUAUCUUUGUGUAAAUAUUACUGUAAUAUUUCAAUACCAUCCACACCAUAUGACCUAUUGGUUCAAAACCUUCUCUGAAAGGUUCAUCUACAUCUCCUUCACAGGGCACAACCUUUUUUCUGAGGAAAUAGUCAUGUUGCAUAUUUUUCUAUAAUAUUUUUGUGUAAAUAUUACUGUAAUAUUUCAAUACCAUCCACACCAUAUGACCUAUUGGUUCAAAACCGUCUCUGAAAGGUUCAUCUACAUCUCCUUCACAGGGCACAACCUUUUUUCUGAGGAAAUAGUCAUGUUGCAUAUUUUUCUAUAAUAUUUUUGUGUAAAUAUUACUGUAAUAUUUCAAUACCAUCCACACCAUAUGACCUAUUGGUUCAAAACCUGUUCCAAACUGUGUGUUUACAUCCCCUUCACAGGGCACAACCUUUUAUAUGAGGAAAUAGUCAUGUUGCAUAAUUUUCUAUAAUAUUUCUGUGAAAAUAUUACUGUAAUUUUUCUAUACCGUCCACACCAUAUGACCUAUUGGUUCAAAACCUGUUCCAAACUGUGUGUCUACAUCCCCUUCACAGGGCACAACCUUUUAUAUGAGGAAAUAGUCAUGGUGCCUAUUUUUCUAUAAUAUUUUUGUGUAAAUAUUAAUGUAAUAUUUCAAUACCAUCCACACCAUAUGACCUAUUGGUUCAAAACCUGUUCCAAACUGUGUGUCUACAUCCCCUUCACAGGGCACAACCUUUUAUAUGAGGAAAUAGUCAUGUUGCAUAUUUUUCUAUAAUAUUUUUGUGUAAAUAUUACUGUAAUAUUUCAAUACCGUCCACACCAUAUGACCUACUGGUUCAAAACCUUCUCUGAAAUGUUCAUCUACAUCUCCUUCACAGGGCACAACCUUUUUUCUGAGGAAAUAGUCAUGUUCCAUAUUUUUCUAUAAUAUUUUAAUAUCUGUGUGUUUAAAUCUCCUUGUUGGGGCACAGCCAUUCUUAUGAGGAUAUGGUGAUGUUGCAUUAAUUCCAGUAACAUUUCAAUGAUAAUAUUACUACCGGUACUACCGCUGGCCACAGACAUUUAAGGUGAUUUUAUUUGCCACUCCUAAUCAGCAGGUGGCGAUAAAGCUAUUAAAGGCUAAUACCAAUCCCAUUAAAUUGCCUCAGAACAAAACAAACUUCUGGAAAAGUGUUGCGCAUGUGCUGCUUAUCCUUAGCAUCCCUACACAAAUAUGGUUCGUUUCAAAAAAGGCCACAAGAAAAAGACAACUGAUCACUGGGAACAUGCUGGAGGAAAAGAUGCAAUAAUUCGUUGUUUACUUAAAAACGGUUUUGCUAAACAUAAUGCAGCUAUUACAGCUGAGCAGUGGUCUGCAGUCAGUGGCAGUCUUUUUAAAAAUGACAGUAAAUGCUAUUUAAAAUGGCUAAAGGUGAUAUGGUUUCAGGACAGAAAAAGCAUCAAGACAACAGUACUUUCAGGUAAGGUUUCAUGUGUAUAAGGUAACAAACUGAAAGCUGUAUGUAUGCAUGCAUGCUGCUGUUCAUGCUGUUAAAGGUGUGUAAUAUUAUCAAGCUACAGACACAAAUUAAAGUAGAGAAAACUGAACUGUUUACCUAAUAGCCAUUUCAUGUACUUAUUGUACCCCCAAAGUGUGACACGACACAGUACUUAACAAUAAGUCAGGUGUUAUGUCACACAGGUUAAGGUAUAUUACAUUUUUGACAUAUUUGUGUUUAGGGAAAGGUGUGAGUAGUGAAGUGAAGAUUGAGUCAAGCAAAACAGACAAAGAGGACAUAUUAAAAAGAAAAUGUGAAAAAACAGAGAGGAGUGCUGAGGAAUUUGAGAGUAAUAGGACGGGCGACGUGUGCAACAGUGUCACAGACAGACAGGCCAUCGAAAAGAGAAACAGCAAAAAAGACAAAUGUGAUGAGGCGAGUGGACUUACAUCAGCAUGUGAGGACUCAAGGGACACUGUAGAAGAAGACGUAGUCAAAGAGAUGUUUCAGACUUAUCAGCCAGUGAAGAAAAUUGGUAAAAAAAGAAACCCAAAAAAACAGUGCAAGAAACAAAUAUAUGUAAAGACAGGUGAAAAGAAGGGACACAAGAAGGGACACCAGGGCACAGUUAAAGAGCUGUUCAGAGCAGAAGAAGAUGAGGUUGAUGACAAAACCAUAAGGGCAAACAGCGGUGCUAAGGAAAAUGAGAGCAAUAGGAAGGAAGACUUGUACAACAAUGUCAAAGACAACCAAGCCAUGGAAAAGACAAACAACACAAAAGACAAAUGUGAUGAGGGAAGUGGACAUAUAUCAGCAUGUGAGGAAUCAAGGGACACGGUAGAAGAAGACGUAGUCACAGAGAUGUUUCAGACUUAUCAACCAGUGAAGGCAAUGGACAGCGAAACACAUGAUGACAUCACACAAUCACAAAAUGGCCUUCAGAAAGGUCAUACAAGUUCAAUUACUUAUGAACCAAACAAAGACAGCAUUGGAAAUCACAAGAAAAGUGUUUUAACUAAAGAGAAUACUAUACCUGUAGAGGACAGAAGCAAUGGACAGGAUUGUGAGGAAAGUGAAGAGGAGGAAACAGUGGAAAGCCAGUGUACAAAACAAAUAUCACUGAAAGGACUAAAAAGUUUAAAAUGUAAAGCAAAGCAUAUAGAUGGCAAUCACUACCGGAGGUGCAAUGCAGGGCCCAAGGUCUAAACAGUGGACUAAAAUAAAACCAAAACCUGGAAGAAAAAAUCUUAAUCCUCCAUGGACAGACAUAUUUUAUCACGAAUUUUUAAAACAAAAUCCAUCUUGUACACUUUCAUUCAAGUACCAACAUGUCAAGACGGGUCACAGUCGUAAAAAGAAAUCUCUAUUUUUCCAUGCAUCAGCAAGACGUACAUUUGAUGGAUGCAAGGCUGUGUAUAUCUUUACAAAAAAGUCCAAACCACAGUCAACAGAUAAAAAAAUCUGUUUCAAGGUUAGGCGACAAGGUGAAGUAAAACAUCUUAAACAACAACAGAAAUGUAGACCAGCUAAAUACCUGCGAAGGGGAGCUAUUGCAAAGGCUUUAUCUGCAGGUGUCAGCAAUUACUAUUAUAAUAUGUUGACAAAGACUCCAACACAGGAAGUGCUCGCUGGCAACAUGAGUAGAAGCCUAACCAAGGAUGUUUUGAAGAAAAUAUCAUCCGAGGUGAGAAAGAGUUCAAGGCUUCACAAUGGCAUGAUGCUUGAGCUCAUGCUAACUCAAAAAAUAAUCAAACAGAGUGGCAGUCAUGCAGCAUCAAAUGGCUAUCUCCAGAGCCUACAGAUAGAUCCUUUUGCUGUUCAUCUUUACACAGAAAGCGGAAUCCAAAUAUUAACAAAGCAUUUAAAAAAGUCAGCACCCAUCACCUUGCACCUUGAUGCAACAGGCAGCGUUGUACAGAAGAUUCCUGAUCAAGAUAAGCGGGUCUUGUAUUAUGCACUGGUUUUGCCUGGCAUGGGAAAGGAUAAGCCUCCUUUGCCUGUUGCAGAGCUUAUUUCAAACAGUCAUUCAAUCCCAACCAUUUCAUACUGGCUCAUGGAAUUCAGGAGGAAGCUGUGUUAUGCUACAAAGAGGAGGAUAGCACAGAUUGAAACUGACCACAGCUGGGCUCUGAUCAACAGUGUACUUCUUUCCUUUAAUAAGGAAAAUAUUUCAGUGUACCUUGACAGAGCCUUUGAAAGUAUAUAUUCCUCAACACUCCAGAAAAUCCCUGCCUUUACUGUGGUACACAUCUGCUCUGCCCACAUCAUGAAGACAGUGGCUCAAGCUUUUGGAAAAAAAACUGCAGACAAAGGCAUUAAAGAGUAUGCAAGCUUCACAUUUGCUUGCCUUCUCAACUGCACAGCUAUGGACGAGGCUCUUGAUAUUUUUUAUCAUAUGUGUGUGGUUUUCAAGGCAGAGGAUGAUACACCUCUGGUAAAAAGCAGCAAGACUUAUUUGAAUAAGUGCAUCCUACAAACACAAGACACAAAAGUAGAAGAAAGUGAAGCACAUACAGCUGAAACUAAGUGCAGCAGGGACAGUGGUUCCAACAGUGUUGUUGGAAAGUCACCUUUUACACAAGCAUUUCAAGUCAAAUGUGAUCAGGCAGAGUGUGAUAUCCUGUCUGAGGAUGUAACUAGUGUCAAAAACCAGUUCUUCUGCUCUGGCAUCAUAGAGGUCCUCCUUGAAUCCUACAUGGGAAUCUUCCCAUUGUGGAGUGGUGUGCUGCUAGGAGAUCUUAUGAGACACAGAAAAGUCAGAAGCUGUAAAAUAGAAGCCAAAGGAAAGACAAGAGAGACUAACUGUCACGUUGAACUCUGGUUUGGCUUAGUGAAGCAUUCCAUUCUUCAAAAAAGAAAAUUCUUAAGACCGGCAGAAUUUGUUUCUAAAAUGUUUGCCUCCAUACAAGGGCGUUACUUGGAGCAUAUCAACAAACAUAAUCUGCCAUUGGACAUUCUGGAAAAAAAGGUGUCAGGUUGUACAAACACAGGGGAUGACCAGCAGGAACAGUGGGCCAAACGGGAGAGCUCAAGUCAUUCCAGGACUAAAUCUAAGUAUUUUAAUCCACCUGCCAAACUGCCAAUGCCCAAAACUAAAAAAAUCCAACACAAAAAAAUUAACAGCACAAAAGAGAACCUUGGUGACAAAGAUGCCCAGUUAACAAGGCUGUGGGGAAGAAAAGACACAGAGGUGAUUGUUGCAGUACUUCAGUUACAAACCAAGGGUCGCAACAUUGUCAUCCAUCACAGCGAGCUCUGUUCACUUCGUCCAAAUCAGUGGUUAACAGGCGAGGUCAUUGAAGGCUUGUUUCAUGUUGCUGCCCACAAGUUAAAUAUCUUAAGCAAGAUCUACAUACUGAAUCAUUACACAGCUGGGGCAAUUUUGUUUGGUGACAGAACACAACUCUCUCACUACAGUUUACCAAAGGUAAACCUUAGCAACUACCAGGCUGUUCUGUCAUUUGUGCUGGUCAACAACAAUCACUGGAAGAUGCUGUACAUUAAUGCAGCAAGAAGCAUGGUGUAUCUGGUGGAUCCAGCUCCUUCAAAAUUGGAGUUGCAGCAUUCUGAAGAUGCAGCAAAGAAAAUCCAGGAGUUUUUGAAAAUGAGGAGAACCUGUCAUGGAAAAACUGACUGGGUGGACAUAAAGUGGAAAGAUGGCAAAAUCAGUGAUGGAAAGCUUUCCUAAAAUACCAAGAAUGACUUUUGGGACUUCAAAAAAGGAAAUGGCAAAUGAGAGGCGAGCCCUGGGACUUGAAGUCCUGGAGGCCUCAAUCUUUGAUGAGCACACCAACUGUGCUAUGUGUGCCACUUUUAAGCCUCCAGGAUCUGGACCAGGCAUUACAAACUGGGUAAGUUGGUUACAUUCAAAAAUUCAAGAUUCAGAAGUAUUAUGUUGUCACAAAGGGAGAAAAGUAAAUCAUAAACAUUUUACAGGUCCAGUGUGAUGAGUGUGAAAGAUGGUUUCAUGCUCAGUGUCUAUGUAUGAAGAAUGCAGAGUUUGAAAAGGCCAAAGGAGGAAUGUGGAACUGUGUCUUAUGCGAAUGAAGGAAAUAAUAUUUGUAGUAUUGGAAAUACUACUGUACGUUAUAUGUAAAUACAACCAGAAAAAAUGUAUAAUGUAUAAAUGUAUAAUAAAUGAUAGAUAUCCUGUAGGUAUCCUAGAUUUCUUGCUCACGUCGUUGAAUGAUAUCCUACUGAGAAAUUUUGUGCCAUAAUCAGUUUCAAUUAUAAAUUGUGUUAUAAGUUUUGAACCAGUAGGUCAUAUGGUGUGGAUG